rnacentral:rRNA from 1 species
UACGUAGGGGGCGAGCGUUGUCCGGAUUUACUGGGCGUAAAGCGCGUGUAGGCGGUCUGUCAAGUCCGGGGUGAAAGGCGGGGGCUCAACCCCCGAGCGGCGCCGGAAACUGGCAGACUUGAGUGUCGGAGAGGGGAGUGGAAUUCUCGGUGUAGCGGUGAAAUGCGUAGAGAUCGAGAGGAACACCCGUGGCGAAGGCGGCUCCCUGGCCGAACACUGACGCUGAGACGCGAAAGCGCGGGGAGCGAACGGG